rnacentral:rRNA from 1 species
UGGGGAAUAUUGCACAAUGGGGGAAACCCUGAUGCAGCGACGCCGCGUGAGCGAAGAAGUAUUUCGGUAUGUAAAGCUCUAUCAGCAGGGAAGAAGAAAGACGGUACCUGACUAAGAAGCCCCGGCUAACUACGUGCCAGCAGCCGCGGUAAUACGUAGGGGGCAAGCGUUAUCCGGAAUUACUGGGUGUAAAGGGAGCGUAGGCGGCAUGGUAAGCCAGAUGUGAAAGCCUUGGGCUUAACCCGAGGAUUGCAUUUGGAACUAUCAAGCUAGAGUACAGGAGAGGAAAGCGGAAUUCCUAGUGUAGCGGUGAAAUGCGUAGAUAUUAGGAAGAACACCAGUGGCGAAGGCGGCUUUCUGGACUGAAACUGACGCUGAGGCUCGAAAGCGUGGGGAGCAAACA